UGUGGGAGCGAGCUUGCUCGCGAUAGCGGUAGACCUGCCAAUAUCAAUGGCGACUGGUCCGACGCCAUCGCGAGCAAGCUCGCUCCCACA
rnacentral:antisense_RNA from 1 species